UAAUAAUUCACACUGUGAAUGACUCAGAAGAGUUGGUGGCCCAGAAUAAUGGGGUUCAAAGGGAUCCUUAUCAACGGAGUGGUGGUAAGUCACAGUUCCUUGUGGAGGUCCUGAGGAGGACUGCCUAUUUGAAGGGAGGACUAGCAAUGGAUAUAGCGGUGGACACGUAAUAUGAUUUCCUUCCUGUCCUGUAUAUUCUGACAGACCUUCCAGCUGCAGAUUUUAGUGUCCUUAGGAAAAAGCCAACGCUGCAAAGGGAUGCUGACAGUGAAGGUUUUGCCUGCACCCCCCAGCCAUGUCUCCUUCCUGUAAGGCUCCCUUAUCCUGGCAGGGAACGGCGGAGGGUUCUGCAUGCGCCCUCGGCUCUCAGGGAAAUAGUUGGGGUAGGCUGCAGGGCUGCUGAACCAUCCUAGCUCCUAUAGGAAGGGAGCCCUUGGGAGGGGCCUGGGG
rnacentral:lncRNA from 1 species